CCGACCAACAGAUUUGCAACCCUAAUAUCUCUUCUCCAAAGGAUAACCCCAACUACAGCUGCUGGGUCUAGAAUAAUUUCCAUAAACCCAACUCGGUCAGCUAUUGAGUUGGGUCUACAUCUAAUAUCAACAUGAAACUAGCUCGGGUUGAGAUCAAUCAUUUUCGGAUCCGACCAACAGAUUUGCAACCCUAAUAUCUCUUCU
rnacentral:lncRNA from 1 species